CAGCUUCAAUAUCACGAGCAAGUAUACGGCGAUUUGGAUCAUUUGCAUCAUAUGCACGGCGAGUUUUAACAGAAUCAGGAAUGCAAGCUGGUCGUGCAACCUCAUCACGAGCAGCAGGCUCAGCAAGAUGAAUGCGAUUAAGAACAUUGUUAACCCUUGAGCCCUUAAGUUUUUGUUCGACACGAGCAGCCAAAAGGGCUUCACAAGCGGUAGUACGUACAUCCAUAACACCGAUAUCUUGAACACAGCUAGUUUGAACCACCUUAACAUUACCGUCGUCAAUGAUGGUUUGAAGAAGCUCUUGAUUUUUUUGAUCCAAAUCCUCAGGCCUCAUGGCGUCAAUCUUGUUGAGAACCAAAAUAGUAACCUUGUUGGCAAAAAGGGGUUUAAUGCUAUGAUAUAAUUUAACCUGUGCAGCAACACUGUAACCGCACAUUUCCGAGAGAUCCAUGAAAUAUAAAACCGCAGAUCGAAGAUGAGCCAUUGCAGUAAUAGAUUGCAUUUCAAUGGUGUUCAUUUGCUCUAAAGGGUGGUCCAGAAUACCAGGAGUAUCAAUCACUUGCCAUCUCAAAUAUUUAUAAUCAAAAUGACCGACAAAUAGAGAUUUAGUGGUAAAAGCAUAAGGCUGAACAUCAACUUGAGCACGAGUAACCUUGUUCAUGAAUGAGGAUUUACCAACGUUGGGAUAGCCGCAAACCAAUAAGGUUCGUGUAUUUGGAUCAAUUGCUGGCAAACGAGACAAGUGCUGUCUGACUUGCUCAAGAAAUUCGAGGGAUGACUUUUGCCUUUUAAUGAUCGUUGCCAUGCGUCCCAAAGCGGCACGCUUGAGCUGUUUGCAGCGGUAUAAGCUAUCACCAUACUUGAGCAAACGGAUAUAAUCACGAGCGACAUUUUCUACUAAAUGUUUGGCUGUCGAGAGCUGUGAAAGAGCGAUUUUAAGGUGAUCGCGAUCGUAAAGAAUGUUCAAAAGGUCAGCAUGAAAAGGAUGAAUAUCGUUAAGUCUAAGAAAUUGUUAGUGAACCAUAGAUAGUGAUAUGGAAAUAAGGAAAGAUUCACGAUGCUGCUGAGAAUUCCAACACAAUUAAACACUUAAAAAAUCAAUAGGAGUAACACAGUGUUAAGAAUACUGUGCACAUAAGAAUUCACACCAAACACGUUAAAGCAUCAUUUCUCAUUCUUUAACAGUGACUGCAGGCAUCCAUUUCUUUGGCAAAUACUUACUUAGG